rnacentral:lncRNA from 1 species
UGGAAAUUUGAUAAACAGGAGAAGGAAUACUCUAAAUCCCACUAAAGGAAAACACUGAGGUCAGUCACUCCCAUUCACCUUGCAUUUCUGCUUUUGGCUAAAUUGCAGACUGGACACGGAACAACUUCAUCUUUUUUAUUGGAAAAGAAGGACACUUGACACAGACCAUACACAACCUUCCUGUAUCAGGGGGAAGAUUACUUUGAGUCAGAAGAGGUGGAACACGUGUUAAGCUCACACUGUGGCUGUACAGGAAAUUUGCUAUGCUUUUAUAAUUAGAAGGGUCCUAUAAUUUCCCUGCUUCAAGACCUUCCUUUCUAGGCUUUACUCUACUGCCUCUACCAAACACCAAGUGGAAGAGCCAGCUGCCUUUCAAUCCAGCAGCAAAACUGUGGCACAAGAAUCCAUGUCCUACGCAAGAUCUAGGCUCAGAAUCCUCAACAAGGUUUGGUUGCUGUUUCCAUUCACGUCUCUUUCCAACCUCCUUUCUGAACAGUUAUAAACCUGUUUCUUACACUGAGAAUGAAAUACCUUUGCUGGUUGCAGGCUGACCCCCUCAGAGUAUGGCCAAGGUAAAGACAUCACUUCUAAAGAAAAUCACUGUACUUAGAAAAGCAAAGCAGGGAGCAUUAAAAUGUUUUUCUUUC